CCUACGGGGGGCAGCAGUGGGGAAUAUUGCACAAUGGGGGAAACCCUGAUGCAGCGACGCCGCGUGAGUGAAGAAGUAUUUCGGUAUGUAAAGCUCUAUCAGCAGGGAAGAAAAUGACGGUACCUGAGUAAGAAGCCACGGCUAACGACGUGCCAGCAGCCGCGGUAAUACGUAGGGGGCAAGCGUUAUCCGGAUUUACUGGGUGUAAAGGGAGCGUAGACGGCAGCACAAGUCUGGAGUGAAAUGCCGGGGCUUAACCCCGGAACUGCUUUGUAAACUGUGCAGCUAGAGUGCAGGAGAGGUAAGUGGAAUUCCUAGUGUCGCCGUGAAAUGCGUAGAUAUUAGGAGGACCACCAGUGGCGCAGGCGGCUUACUGGACUGUAACUGACGUUGAGGCUCGAAAGCGUGGGGAGCAAACAGGAUUAGAUACCCCAGUAGUC
rnacentral:rRNA from 1 species